rnacentral:rRNA from 1 species
CGUAAGGAACUUGCCCCGCAGACAGGGAUAACAGACGGAAACGACUGAUAAGACCAGGUGUUGUCAGGCUGACGCAUGUCAGGCUGAUGAAAGGAGACGCUGCGGGAGAGCCUUGCGUCCUAUUAGCUUGUUGGUGGGGUAACGGCCCACCAAGGCGAUGAUAGGUAGCCGGCCUGAGAGGGUGAACGGCCACAAGGGGACUGAGAUACGGCCCUUACUCCUACGGGAGGCAGCAGUGGGGAAUAUUGGACAAUGGGGGCAACCCUGAUCCAGCAAUUCUGUGUGCACGAAGAAGGUUUUCGGAUUGUAAAGUGCUUUCAGCAGGGAAGAAGCAAGUGACGGUACCUGCAGAAGAAGCGACGGCUAAAUACGUGCCAGCAGCCGCGGUAAUACGUAUGUCGCAAGCGUUAUCCGGAAUUAUUGGGCAUAAAGGGCAUCUAGGCGGCCCUGUAAGUCUAGGGUGAAAACCUGCGGCUCAACCGCAGGCCUGCCCCGGAAACUACAGGGCUGGAGUAUUGGAGAGGUGGACGGAACUGCACGAGUAGAGGUGAAAUUCGUAGAUAUGUGCGGGAAUGCCGAUGAUGAAGAUAGUCCACUGGACGAUAACUG